AAUUUUGGACAAGGGGGGAAACCCUGAUCCAGCCAUCCCGCGUGUGUGAUGAAGGCCUUCGGGUUGUAAAGCACGUUCGACAGGGAAGAAAUGACAGGAGCUAAUAACUUCUGUACAUGACGGUAUCUGCAGAACAAGCACCGGCGAACUACGUGCCAGCAGCCGCGGUAAUACGUAGGGUGCAAGCGUGAAUCGGAAUUACUGGGCGUAAAGCGUGUGUAGGCGGUUCGGAAAGAAAGAUGAGAAAUCCCAGGGCUCAACCUUGGAACAGCAUUUUUAACUGCCGAGCUAGAGUAUGUCAGAGGGGGGUAGAAUUCCACGUGUAGCAGUGAAAUGCGUAGAUAUGUGGAGGAAUACCGAUGGCGAAGGCAGCCCCCUGGGAUAAUACUGACGCUCAGACACGAAAGCGUGGGGAGCAAACA
rnacentral:rRNA from 1 species